AACGAACGCUGGCGGCAGGCUUAACACAUGCAAGUCGAACGCGUGUAGCAAUACACGAGUGGCGCACGGGUGAGUAACGCGUGGAUAUCUGCCUUUUGGUUCGGAAUAACCCCGGGAAACUGGGGCUAUACCGGAUGGUUCCUUCGGGAUAAAGAUUUAUCGCCAAAAGAUGAGUCCGCGUCCGAUUAGCUAGUUGGUGAGGUAAUGGCUCACCAAGGCGACGAUCGGUAGCUGGUCUGAGAGGACGAUCAGCCACACUGGGACUGAGACACGGCCCAGACUCCUACGGGAGGCAGCAGUGGGGAAUAUUGGACAAUGGGGGCAACCCUGAUCCAGCCAUGCCGCGUGAGUGAUGAAGGCCUUCGGGUUGUAAAGCUCUUUUGGCGGGGACGAUGAUGACGGUACCCGCAGAAUAAGCCCCGGCUAACUUCGUGCCAGCCGCCGCCGUAA
rnacentral:rRNA from 1 species